GACGCCGUGAAGAUGAAGCCCGUAAUUCUGCACUCGUUUGUGGUGGCAGCGCUCAUUAGCACGGCUCUAUGUGGACUUCCUCCUCGUGCUGGCGCGAGAAUUAGAUAUGCUUGUACAAAUGACUGCAGAAACAGACACGCAUGGCAAUCAUGUGGAAGAGGAUGCACUUGUACACCUCACAACACGUACGGAAUUGUUUUAAUAUGUUUGGCUAGACGCUCGCAGAUGCCAUACGAUUUUGGUAGUCGUCGGGGAUGAUUGAAGAUGGACUAAUGCUCUCAACAUCAUUGCGCAAUAUGUAACCACUGGAGCUUCUACACUGACAUAUAAAACAAUAUAAAGAUGCAA
rnacentral:lncRNA from 1 species